AAAGAGAAAGAGCGGGUGCGAGCAAGGUGGCGCGGCGGACAGCCAGAAGAAUGGGUGAUGUGAAACAAGUUAGAACAGCCGUCGCCGCCGGCAGCAACAAGUAGGGAGGGCGCCGAACGCAUGGCGUAGCGCGCAGGCACGUGCACUCACUGUGUCGCCCUCCCCACCUCCCACCACGUGCCACCCGCAGACACCGACAGUUACGCUACCUCCUGCUAUAACAUGCGAGCC